CAGCCUCCUCCGUGCCUCCGGAGGACACGAUAUUUAAAGUGAUCACUGCUCACCUCGGUCCCAGCAGAUGGAUAAUACUUUACACAGCUGUGCAAGCUCUGCGCCUGCUUCCACGCACACGAGCCUUACGCCGUUACCUUGACAGUCGGUGUAGAGUUAGACUGCCGAGUUGUUUGUUUGCCGAGGGAAGUGACAUGACGGCAGUGGAGGAAAUAGGAAACAUAACAGACUACCUGACAGACUCAUUCCACGGGCUUGACCUGAGACUGGAACAGAGCCAGUCAGCAAUCAGAGAGAAAUAACAAGAGCAGGCUCUUUUGUUUGUUCAGCCUAUAUCCUUAUAUUCGCAAAUAUUGUAAAUCUGGUGAUCUGCGAAAACACCAGCGAUGGCUUUCUCAAGUUUUCAGCAGAAGUCUCUGACUAAAGUGUCCUACCCUGAGGAGGUGGAUGUGAUUGUUGAGACAUUGCAGGGCAUCUUUACCAGGGGGAGUCUGCAGCAGCACUAUGAGCUAACCCUGACAACUCUCAGGCCUGGGGC